rnacentral:lncRNA from 1 species
GUCGCCACUAUCUUCGUCGGACAUCACCACACUUCCAUGACUCCAACCCAAUUCAGGAAUCUGCUGUAACAAUCUUGCUAUAGAUGAAAUGUAGAGCUUCAUCGUUCUUUGAAAGUUAUAUCAAAUGAGAUUCAAUGAUCAUUUUUUCAUAUGAAAGAUAUGGUCUGAGUCCUCCAUAUGCUCAUGCUUUGCACGGUUAAAUCA